rnacentral:rRNA from 1 species
GACGAACGCUGGCGGCGUGCCUAAUACAUGCAAGUAGAACGCACAGUUUAUACCGUAGCUUGCUACACCAUAAACUGUGAGUUGCGAACGGGUGAGUAACGCGUAGGUAACCUGCCUGGUAGCGGGGGAUAACUAUUGGAAACGAUAGCUAAUACCGCAUAAUAUUGAUUAUUGCAUGAUAAUUGAUUGAAAGAUGCUAUUGCAUCACUACCAGAUGGACCUGCGUUGUAUUAGCUAGUAGGUGAGGUAACGGCUCACCUAGGCGACGAUACAUAGCCGACCUGAGAGGGUGAUCGGCCAAACUGGGACUGGGACACGGCCCAGACUCCUACGGGAGGCAGCAGUAGGGAAUCUUCGGCAAUGGACGAAAGUCUGACCGAGCAACGCCGCGUGAGGGAAGAAGGUUGUCGGAUCGUAAAGCUCUGUUGUAAGAGAAGAACGGGUGUGAGAGUGGAAAGUUCACACUGUGACGGUAUCUUACCAGAAAGGGACGGCUAACUACGUG